UACAGACAUGUAAACAAUUAAAUGCUCUGGCAGGAUUAACAGACACAGAACAAGAUAUCAAUUACCUCAGGGAAGCAAUGGCUGUUGUUCAGCAUCAUGAUGGUGUAUCUGGAACUGAGAAGCAAUAUGUAGCAGACGAUUAUGUUAGACUGCUUCAAAAUGGUAUACACUAUUGUAAGG